AGUCAUUAAAAGACUUGUCAUGGGUCCAGGCCUGAAGACAUCUAUAUGCCAAAAUUGACUUUUGGUCAUAGCGCUCACCGCUGGCAAGAAGACGCUAGUUUUAUAUGACAAACAUCAUCCGAUUUACAUGAAACGUAUACUGUGUGGUCGACGUGUGACACUAAGCCGCCCCCUAUAAUUUAACCACGCCCACUUACUCAGGCCAUAAGCUC